CAAAAGAUGGCCAAUUUGGUCUAAGGCGCUACAUUAAGGCCGUGGUCUCUUUGGAGGCAUGAGUUCAAAUCUCACUCUGUUCA